rnacentral:rRNA from 1 species
ACCGGUGCCAGCCGCCGCGGUAAUACCGGCGGCUCGAGUGGUGACCACUUUUAUUGGGCUUAAAGCGUUCGUAGCUUGAUUUUUAAGUCUCUUGGGAAAUCUCACGGCUUAACUGUGAGGCGUCUAAGAGAUACUGGGAAUCUGGGGACCGGGAGAGGUAAGAGGUACUUCAGGGGUAGAAGUGAAAUUCUGUAAUCCUUGAGGGACCACCGAUGGCGAAGGCAUCUUACCAGAACGGCUUCGACAGUGAGGAACGAAAGCUGGGGGAGCGAACGGGAUUAGAUACCCCGGUAGUCCCAGCCGUAAACUAUGCGCGUUAGGUGUGCCUGUAACUACGAGUUACCGGGGUGCCGAAGUGAAAACGUGAAACGUGCCGCCUGGGAAGUACGGUCGCAAGGCUGAAACUUAAAGGAAUUGGCGGGGGAGCACCACAACGGGUGGAGCCUGCGGUUUAAUUGGACUCAACGCCGGGCAGCUCACCGGAUAGGACAGCGGAAUGAUAGCCGGGCUGAAGACCUUGCUUGACCAGCUGAGAGGAGGUGCAUGGCCGUCGUCAGUUCGUACUGUGAAGCAUCCUGUUUAGUCAGGCAACGAGCGAGACCCACGCCAACAGUUGCUAGCAUGUUCUCCGGAAUGAUGAGGACACUGUUGGGACCGCCUCUGCUAAAGAAGAGGAAGGAAUGGGCGACGGUAGGUCAGCAUGCCCCGAAUUAUCCGGGCUACACGCGGGCUACAAUGGUCAGGACAAUGGGAAACGGCACUGAAAAGUGUAGUCAAUCUCCUAAACCUGUCCCAAGUUCGGAUUGUGGGCUGCAACUCGCCCACAUGAAGCUGGAAUCCGUAGUAAUCGCGUUUCAAAAUAGCGCGGUGAAUAAGUCCCUGCUCCUUGCACACACCG